GCUCCCAUGUAUGGACUGAUGUUUUGAUCCACCUGCUUCUCUGUAACCUGUGGGUGAAUCUCUCCAUCUCCUCUGGAAGCAGAGCAGUCUGAUGAAGGGGCCUGACAGAUGGUAAGUCCUUCUGUUUCAGUAUAAAGAUUUUGUGCUGGAGGGAAAGGACCCAGCAUUAAUGUGAGCUCCUCUUCUCCCUCUUUCAUGUGCAGAAAUAAUUGAUCUUGCCUCUGCUGAGCCUCUGAGUUGGGACUCUUCUCCGGCUGUGAGCUGAAAGAUGAAAGAGGAAGAAUCAUUUCUUCUGAGAAUUCAGGUGCUUCUCUUAAACAUGAAAGAACCUCUUUUUUUUUUUUUUUUUUAUCAGGGAUCAGGAAUAGAAAUAUACCAAAUUAUCUGUUGAUUGUCUGUUUUUGUCCUUGCAUUUCUGACUCAUUGGGAGAAUUCCAUUAUGAACAUACAUAUCCUAGUGGAAAUUUAAAAUAUACGAUGUGAGAAAUAUGAAGUGAAACUGCAGUGGAUGCAUCUUGACAUGUAGACGUGGCCAAGAUGACCACGUAUUCA
ensembl:lncRNA